GAUGAACGCUGGCGGCGUGCCUAAUACAUGCAAGUCGAGCGAACAGACGAGGAGCUUGCUCCUCUGACGUUAGCGGCGGACGGGUGAGUAACACGUGGAUAACCUACCUAUAAGACUGGGAUAACUUCGGGAAACCGGAGCUAAUACCGGAUAAUAUAUUGCACCGCAUGGUUCAAUAGUGAAAGACGGUUUUGCUGUCACUUAUAGCUGGAUCCGCGCCGCAUUAGCUAGUUGGUAAGGUAACGGCUUACCAAGGCAACGAUGCGUAGCCGACCUGAGAGGGGGGUCGGCGGCACGGGAACUGGGACGCGGUCCAGGCUCCUGAGGGAGGGAGCAGUAGGGAAUCGGACGCAAUGGGCGAGAGCUUGACGGAGCGAGGGCGCGUGAGUGAUGAAGGUCUUGGGAUCGUAAAACUGUGUUAUUAGGGAAGAACAAAUGUGUAAGGAACUAUGCACGGCUUGACGGUACCGAAUCAGGAAGCCACGGCUAACUACGUG
rnacentral:rRNA from 1 species